CUCAAUUUGCGUCCUAAUAUCCGUCUGAUGAUUAUCUGGUCCACAGACAUAGUUCCUCAAGAAAUUCUAUAACGUUAACCAAGUCUGGUCCUCGAAGAGCUGAAAUUUCCACUCGAAGUUCCUCCGUCAUUGCUCCAGCGAUCGCUGCCCCCAAAGCUGCUCCGGCCAGGAAAGCGCCAAUCGCUGCGAACUGCAAAGGUCUCCGUCCUGCUGCAUUUCUUUGAACUGAAUAAAACAAAUCUGGCAACACAGUAGACUCAAAAGAAGGACAUACAGUUUCACCUUUCAACAAAUCACUAACAGACAAUCGUAACACAAUUGGCUGUACUUGUGGUUGUAUCAAAAAUCUAACUGGCUGAUGUAAUAAAGGUAAAAAUCCUGGAGCCUCUAAAGUCUUCAUAAAAUUACCGUCCUUUUCCUUGCGUGGGAAGAGGACCGCUCUUGGGAAAUGGGCAGUAACCCAUCCCUUGGUUUCAUCAAAUCCUCCUCUAUCGAUUAAACAAGGAUUCAAAGA